CUAAAACCAAGCCCUAACACUUCUUUAUUUCCCCCCCCACCACAGCCUUAAGCUAAAACAUUCAAUUAAUCUAGUAGAGGCGAUAGAAAAAUUAUUAGGCGCCAUAAAAACAGUACCGCAAGGGAAAUUUGAAAUAAAAUUGAAAUAACAAAAAGCACAAAAAAGCAGAGAUUACCUCUCGUACCUUUUGCAUCAUGGUCUAGCCAGUCUUAAUCAAGCAAAACGCAUUUUAAGUUUGACCCCCCGAAACUAAGCGAGCUACUUCAAAACAGCUUAAAGAGCCAACCCGUCUCUGUUGCAAAAGAGUGGGAAGAUUUUCAAGUAGAGGUGAUAAACCUAUCGAGCUUAGAGAUAGCUGGUUAUUCAAGAAAAGGAUCCAAGUCCAACCUUAAGUUUCACCUUAACCUUAGUACCUCCAUAAACUUAAGAGCCACUCAAAUAGGGUACAGCCUAUUUGAAACAGGAUACAACCUAUAACACAGGGUAACAACACUCUCUCGUGACCAAGUAGGCCUGAAAGCAGCCACCUUUCAAAAAGCGUUAAAGCCUAGCCACUCCCACUCAAAAAUACCUAACAAUCUACAAAACCCUUCACCCCUAUUGAAUUUCCCCAUACGCUAUGGAAAAACUCAUGCUAGAACUAGUAACAAGAAAAAGACUCUCUCCAAAAUGUAAGUAUAAGCCCCAAUAAACCCCAUUGGCACUUAAAGUCUCUGAGCUUAAUGUAACAACCACCAAGAAAACCCUACCAACUUUAACGUUAACCUUACACCAGAACACUUCUGGAAAGAUUAAAAAAAGAGGAAGGAACUCGGCAAACUACUAACCCCGCCUGUUUACCAAAAACAUCGCCUCCCGCCCCCAAUGGGAGGUCCAGCCUGCCCAGUGAUAAACAUUAAACGGCCGCGGUACCCUAACCGUGCGAAGGUAGCGCAAUCACUUGUUCCCUAAAUAGGGACUAGUAUGAACGGCAUCACGAGGGUUAUGCUGUCUCCCCCCUUUAAUCAGUGAAACUGAUUUACCCGUGAAGAAGCGGGUAUGAGCCUAUAAGACGAGAAGACCCCAUGGAGCUUUAAACCUAACAAGCACCUAUUUUAACACACCACACUAACUAAAUAGCCCUGAAUGUUGGUUUUCGGUUGGGGCGACCGCGGAGUAAAACCAAACCUCCGCGACGAAAGGAAACACCCCUAAUUUAAGAGCCACAGCUCGACUAAUCAACAAAUUGACGUUUAUUGACCCAAUUCUUUGAUCAACGAACCAAGUUACCCUGGGGAUAACAGCGCAAUCCACUUCAAGAGCUCCUAUCGACAGGUGGGUUUACGACCUCGAUGUUGGAUCAGGGUAUCCUAGUGGUGCAGCCGCUACUAAAGGUUCGUUUGUUCAACGAUUAAAACCCUACGUGAUCUGAGUUCAAACCGGAGCAAUCCAGGUUGGUUUCUAUCUAUAAAGAGCUGGUCCUAGUACGAAAGGACCGGAACAGCGCGGCCCAUAUAACCACAAGCCGCAACUGCAAAUUAAUGACCCCCACUCAAUUCUUAAAGCAGCCUACAAUUAAACUUUAGAUAACAGCGU
rnacentral:rRNA from 1 species